CCUCUAGCGAGCACAUACACGGCCCGUACCCCAAACCAACACAGGUGGUCAGGUAGAGAAUACCAAGGCGUACGAGAUAACUAUGGUUAAGGAACUCGGCAAAAUGCCCCCGUAACUUCGGGAGAAGGGGGGCCGGAAUACCGUGAACACCCUUGCGGUGGGAGCGGGAUUCGGCCGCAGAAACCAGUGGGUAGCGACUGUUUACUAAAAACACAGGUCCGUGCGAAGUCGCAAGACGAUGUAUACGGACUGACGCCUGCCCGGUGCUGGAAGGUUAAGAGGACCCGUUAACCCGUAAGGGUGAAGCGGAGAAUUUAAGCCCCAGUAAACGGCGGUGGUAACUAUAACCAUCCUAAGGUAGCGAAAUUCCUUGUCGGGUAAGUUCCGACCUGCACGAAUGGCGUAACGACUUCCCAACUGUCUCAACCAUAGACUCGGCGAAAUUGCACUACGAGUAAAGAUGCUCGUUACGCGCGGCAGGACGAAAAGACCCCGGGACCUUCACUACAACUUGGUAUUGGUGUUCGGUACGGUUUGUGUAGGAUAGGUGGGAGACUUUGAAGCACAGACGCCAGUUUGUGUGGAGUCGUUGUUGAAAUACCACUCUGAUCGUAUUGGACACCUAACGUCGAACCCUUAUCGGGUUCACGGACAGUGCCUGGCGGGUAGUUUAACUGGGGCGGUUGCCUCCUAAAAUGUAACGGAGGCGCCCAAAGGUUCCCUCAACCUGGACGGCAAUCAGGUGGCGAGUGUAAGUGCACAAGGGAGCUUGACUGCGAGACUUACAAGUCAAGCAGGGACGAAAGUCGGGACUAGUGAUCCGGCACCCCCGAGUGGAAGGGGUGUCGCUCAACGGAUAAAAGGUACCCCGGGGAUAACAGGCUGAUCUUCCCCAAGAGUCCAUAUCGACGGGAUGGUUUGGCACCUCGAUGUCGGCUCGUCGCAUCCUGGGGCUGGAGCAGGUCCCAAGGGUUGGGCUGUUCGCCCAUUAAAGCGGCACGCGAGCUGGGUUUAGAACGUCGUGAGACAGUUCGGUCUCUAUCCGCCGCGCGCGUCAGAAACUUGAGGAAACCUGUCCCUAGUACGAGAGGACCGGGACGGACGAACCUCUGGUAUACCAGUUGUCCCACCAGGGGCACGGCUGGAUAGCCACGUUCGGACAGGAUAACCGCUGAAAGCAUCUAAGCGGGAAACCUUCUCCAAGAUCAGGUUUCUCACCCUUUUAGAGGGAUAAGGCCCCCCGCAGACCACGGGAUUGAUAGGCCAGACCUGGAAGCUCAGUAAUGAGUGCAGGGAACUGGCACUAACCGGCCGAAAACUUACCAAC
rnacentral:rRNA from 1 species